rnacentral:tRNA from 1 species
GCCGUUGUAGCGCAGUGGUAGAGCGUCUGACUACUAACGUGACGGUUAUGGGUUCAGUUCCCACUCGUGGAA